GAUGAACGCUGGCGGCGUGCCUAAUACAUGCAAGUCGAGCGGAGCGGGGACGGGUGAGUAACACGUGGAUAACCCCCUAUAAGACUGGGAUAACGUCGGGAAACCGGAGCUAAAGCGGCUACUUAUCGAUGGAUCCACGCUGCAUUAGCUAGUGGGUAAGGUAACGGCUUACAAAGGCAACUAUGCAUAGCUGACCUGAGCGGGUGAGCGGCCACACUGGAACUGAGACACGGUCCAGACUCGUACGGGAGGCAGCAGGGGGGAAUCUGCCGCAAGGGGUGAAAGCCUGACGGAGCCACGCCGCGUGCAUGAUGAAGGUCUUCGGAUCGUAAAGCUCUUUUAUUGGGGAUGCGUUACCUGAUGAGGAAGCCACGGCUAACUCCGUGCCAGCCGCCGCGGUAAUUC
rnacentral:rRNA from 1 species